UACGAAGGGUGCAAACGUUGCUCGGAAUCAUUGGGCGUAAAGCGCACGUAGGCGGCCUCAUAAGUCGGAUGUGAAAUCCCUCGGCUCAACCGAGGACGUGCAUUCGAAACGGCGAGGCUCGAGUAUGGAAGAGGGUCGCGGAAUUCCCGGUGUAGAGGUGAAAUUCGUAGAUAUCGGGAGGAACACCAGUGGCGAAGGCGGCGACCUGGGCCAAUACUGACGCUGAGGUGCGAAAGCGUGGGGAGCAAACAGG
rnacentral:rRNA from 1 species